UAGAUGUUCUUUCAGCGGACUUGGAAU
rnacentral:piRNA from 1 species